GUGUGAACAGGGCUUGUUUUCCCUUCACGCCCUCGGGCUCCGUUUUUAUGAAGCACUUCCUUCUGUUGGCGCUUUGGGAAUAUUCAUUCUUGGCUCGCACCGCGCACGGUUGACAGUUGGGCUGGGAAAUGUACCCGCGGCUUAAUUAGGGCAUCGCCAGACCUGCCAAGCUCCAGCUCCUCCCCUUCGCGAUUGCCGCGACCCCAGGGACCCCCGGGACCCCCAGGGCAUGCCCCACGCUGUGGGAGGGCGCCUCGCUGCUCCUGAGGCUGUACCAUCAGUGCUCCACCCGUGUGCCCCGCCUCAUAGAAACCUGUCCUGGCCAAGGCAUACCUAUGACCUGUCCUACAGGAAGGUCGCAGGUGCCCUCCCUGCAGGAGCAGAGCAGGCACACGGCAGCAAGUUUGUUGAGCGAAAAAGGAACAGAGCAGAUCUCAGCACAGUGCUCUUGCUGACUCGACUGGUCCUUCCUUCCAGUUCUCAGCCUCUUGACCUCAACACGUUCCUCACUGUCCCCACAGCUUCAGUUUCCCAUACUUUGCAUGCUUGGAACAAAGUACUCCUCUCGAGUGGGCCCACCGAGCUCCUUCCUCCUGGACCCCUUCCCACUGGUCCCUGGGAUCCUGGGACACCAGCGAGGAGGGGCUGUCGCUCCUGAGCUCGCACCCAACUCUGCAGGCCCGGGUGUUAUCUCUUGCAGCAGCUGACAGUGGCGCCGGCACCACUUUGGUGUCACUUUUAACACUGCGCGUUAACACCACUGGCUGACUGUCUGCGCAAGGAGGCCCCGGCAGAGCCGCGUGCAGCCACACCCCACAUGUGGAGUUGUUAAUCCGGCAGUUGUUCAGCAGGUUCUCUGGGCCUCACCUCCAAAUGUGUUACUUCUGGAGGGAAAGACGCCCACAGAACAGCACAAGCUCUCCAGGAAGGAACGACAGAACCGGCCUGUCCUGCGUUGGCCAGGAAGAGAAGAGGAGGCAUUUCUGAGCAAGGACAUGCAAAGUUUUGGUGCCUGGAUCUCUGCCACCUACAUACAGUUCCCUAAAUUAGAAGAAUAAGAGGAAGGAGAGAACGAGGAAGAGGGAAAUAGUGUCACCAUACAACUUAAAAUCUUUUCUUAAAUCUGCAGCUUUAUCCGUGCCACAUGUUUUCGAAGAAUAUUUUAUGAUGUAAUGGGAAGAGACAAAAGCAGUGAAAAAGCAAAAUCACAGACGCGAUGUGUCUUCGAUUCUGGGAAUGUGUGGGGUGGACGUAGUCACGGUGUCCCAGGUCCACUCGCCCAUUGCAUCCAGGCACCCUGGAAGAUUUCCCUUCCUCGCCCCUUGAUAUCAGGAUGGUUGUGUGAGUUGCUUUGGCCAGUGAAAUGCGAGAGAAGUAACCUGUGUCACUUCUGGGUGAUGGUGUUCAAUUGCUGGUGCAACCCUUCCCAGCCCACUCUCCCCUGGCCUAAGCAGUCAUGGGAAUGUGUAUUCAUUCUGAAGGCCCAGAAGCUCAAAGGAGCCUCUAUCACUGAGCCACAAUAUGGGAAAGAGCACCUGAGAGUCACCCAGACUCCUGUGAUCUGGGUAUGAGCAGAAAUGAACCUCUGUGCCUUGAAACCACUGAGAUUUUGGUACGGUUUUCCCUGGACUAUGAUCUACACUGACUGAUAAAAUAAGUAUACAAAAUAGAUGGAAAAAUAUUAUCGAGAAGCAUUGCAGUGACUGGUAAUUUUUGUUUUUACACUUUACCAGAUUUCUCCCAUUUUUUACAGUCAGCAUGUUUUACUUUUAUGAUGUUUAAAUGUUCCCGGUCUUACGCAUAGCUAGCUUUUUUGAGUAAAUAAAUGUGUCCUUGGUACGGG
rnacentral:lncRNA from 1 species